ACUUUGCACGUGAUCCCAAGCCUGGUGUAUAAUAGCACAGACAUCGAUUUAUUAAUACCAGUUUCCGUUUGCAGUUUGGUAUUAACCUUCAGCUUGCAUUUUCUAAUACACAUCCAUGCCCCCCAAAGUUGGAAUGGCAACACUGAUGCUGUGGUUCGUUAUCGGUAUCUGUGUCACCACAGAUGUUAACUCCAUAAAUUGGAACAAAAUAGCGAAAGAUACUCUUAACGAAGCCCUCAAAAUAAAACCCAACAACAGGAUCGCUAAAAACGUCAUCAUUUUUAUCGGUGACGGAAUGGGCUUGUCUACCAUUAAUGCUGCUAGAAUCUACAAUCUACAAUCUGACCUCGGACUGCAGCGCUUAUAUUAGUCAAGGAGAGGAAGCGGAAAUCGACUCAAUCAUAAGACAAGCCAUAGAACAAGGUAAAUCUGCGGGAGUUGUGACGACUGCUAGGCUCACCCACGCCACUCCCGCCGCUACAUACGCCCACUCGCCAGAUAGGAACUGGGAAUCGGACGCCGACAUUGGUCCGGCAAACGGAGCCUGCAAAGACAUUGCACAGCAGCUUAUUGACAAUAACCAUGAUAUACAGGUUUUGCUUGGAGGGGGUCGCCGUGCCUUUCUACCAGUUUCCGAGCCCGAUCCUGAAACAAAUGCCCCAGGCGUUAACAAGCGGAUGGAUGGUCGAAAUCUAGUGGAUGAUUGGGAGUCAAUACAACAAGGGAAAAACAAUAAUUACAGAUAUGUCUGGAAGAAGCAAGACUUUGACGAUGUAGACCCUGAUGAAGUAGAUUUUCUAUUGGGACUAUUUAGUCCAUCGCACAUGCAAUAUGAACUGGAGCGAGACACCAGCGGCGACGGGGAACCUUCUUUGGCGGAGAUGACAGACAAGGCCAUCAAGAUACUGAGGCGCAACAAAAACGGAUUCGCACUUAUGGUGGAAGGUGGUAGAAUAGACCAUGCCCACCAUGAAAACAAGGCGAAGAAAUCUUUAGAAGAGACGGUACAAUUUGAGGAGGCAAUCAAAAUGGCGAUGUCAUUAAUAGAUCAGAAGGACACUCUGGUAGUCGUGACGGCAGACCACUCUCAUCCCUUCUCCUUGACUGGGUACACAAACAGGGGAAACCCUAUUCUUGGUUUGGUUGAUCCAUUGGGGAUUAAUAUUGAGCCCACCUUAGAUGGUUUGCCAUACACCUCACUUCUAUACGGCAAUGGUCCUGGUUACACAUCUCCACGUCAGGAUCUAACUGGAGUAAAUACAGAAACAACAGACUUCAUACAGCAGUCUGCCGUACCACUUGAAUUCGACACACACAGCGGAGAGGAUGUCGGGAUAUACGCGCUGGGUCCCAUGUCGCAUCUGUUUCAUGGCGUCCACGAGCAGCAUUACGUCGCCCACGUGAUUCAGUACGCUGCUUGUAUUGGAGAGUAUGCCAAAAAUUGUCGCAAGAAAUCUGGAACAUUGAGAAGCGUUAUUCACGGAAACCCAGAGGUUUAAAAAAUUCAUGAUACUAGUAAUGAGGACUGUACUGUCAUUGAUUUUCAAAAAAGUUUUCAACAGCAGAUUUAUGUAAAUUUUAUGCAAUAAACAGAGUUCCACAAUGCAUUUAAGUUAAUCUGGUGUGCAGUGAGGUCUACUUCUCUUGAUAUCUUGCAGAUCUAAAACCCUUAUUGUAACCCUUUACUACAAGCUAACUUUUACAUUCCAUGUACAAAUCAUGCAAUCUAAUAUUCAUGAACAGAACUUCAACAAAUGUAAGAUUUAAACCCGGUACUUUAUGUUACACGUUUUUAACCACUCGCGAUCGGAUUAUUGUAUGAAUGAAUUUGAAACAC
rnacentral:misc_RNA from 1 species